GUGAUUGCCUCAGGAGCACAUAUACUAAAAUUGGAAUGAUACGAAGAAGGUUAGCAUGGCCCUUGCAUAAGGAUGGCAGACAAAUUCAUGAAGCGUUCCAUAUUUUU
ensembl:snRNA U6 U6 spliceosomal RNA